UUUAUGGAGAGUUUGAUCCUGGCUCAGGAUGAACGCUGGCGGCGUGCCUAAUACAUGCAAGUCGAGCGAACGGACGAGAAGCUUGCUUCUCUGAUGUUAGCGGCGGACGGGUGAGUAACACGUGGAUAACCUACCUAUAAGACUGGGAUAACUUCGGGAAACCGGAGCUAAUACCGGAUAAUAUUUUGAACCGCAUGGUUCAAAAGUGAAAGACGGUCUUGCUGUCACUUAUAGAUGGAUCCGCGCUGCAUUAGCUAGUUGGUAAGGUAACGGCUUACCAAGGCAACGAUGCAUAGCCGACCUGAGAGGGUGAUCGGCCACACUGGAACUGAGACACGGUCCAGACUCCUACGGGAGGCAGCAGUAGGGAAUCUUCCGCAAUGGGCGAAAGCCUGACGGAGCAACGCCGCGUGAGUGAUGAAGGUCUUCGGAUCGUAAAACUCUGUUAUUAGGGAAGAACAUAUGUGUAAGUAACUGUGCACAUCUUGACGGUACCUAAUCAGAAAGCCACGGCUAACUACGUGCCAGCAGCCGCGGUAAUACGUAGGUGGCAAGCGUUAUCCGGAAUUAUUGGGCGUAAAGCGCGCGUAGGCGGUUUUUUAAGUCUGAUGUGAAAGCCCACGGCUCAACCGUGGAGGGUCAUUGGAAACUGGAAAACUUGAGUGCAGAAGAGGAAAGUGGAAUUCCAUGUGUAGCGGUGAAAUGCGCAGAGAUAUGGAGGAACACCAGUGGCGAAGGCGACUUUCUGGUCUGUAACUGACGCUGAUGUGCGAAAGCGUGGGGAUCAAACAGGAUUAGAUACCCUGGUAGUCCACGCCGUAAACGAUGAGUGCUAAGUGUUAGGGGGUUUCCGCCCCUUAGUGCUGCAGCUAACGCAUUAAGCACUCCGCCUGGGGAGUACGACCGCAAGGUUGAAACUCAAAGGAAUUGACGGGGACCCGCACAAGCGGUGGAGCAUGUGGUUUAAUUCGAAGCAACGCGAAGAACCUUACCAAAUCUUGACAUCCUUUGACAACUCUAGAGAUAGAGCUUUCC
rnacentral:rRNA from 1 species